rnacentral:lncRNA from 1 species
GCCAUACAAUAUAUCAAUGGUUGUGAUGCCGUGCAUGUGUUUGGACAGUCGGAUGAUGAGUUAAAUUCAGUUAAAAGCUUCCUUCUCUUCACAACUUCGUCUUCAUCAUCUUCAAACCCAAAAUUCCAGUUACACAAAUGAGUGAGUGGGGAAGUUCAUAGCAAAAAAAAGUAUAAAGAGAGGGAGAGAGUGAUGCACCAGAAUAGAAUGCGUGUUUUGUGUGCCUAUAAGAGGAGAAAUUACUUCUUCUUGAUAAGAGGUGAGUCAUUUCUUCCUCUUUUAAUUUGUUCUUUUUAAUUUUUUGGUAUCCUAAAACUAUUUUUAUUUAAAAAAUUAGCUCUUAAAUUAUUGCUGCAAGUCCCACAACUAAGUAUAGUAGCUGCUGCACCUAAAAAACAACUCUAUUCAAGUAGGUGUCUAUUUUCUAUUCCAAUUUUUUUUUUGUUUCAUUUUUAUUUUACAAAUUCUUAAUCAAUCAUUAGGACAGCAUGUUAUGAAUGGUAAAAUUUAUUUUCCAGCAGUAAAAUAAAUCACAAAUCCGAAUCUAAUCUAAAAACAUCACUCAACUAUGCAUGCACAGUCACAUUGAGUUAAAGAGAAAAAUCUUCAAAUUUUCAACAAUUCCUUCAUGCAAUUUAACUUUUGUCUCGUGUAACUUUUAUCUCGUGCAUUUAUUAAGUAAAAUGAGUGAUAUUUUAACAAAUCUAAGCACGCUUUUACUAAUACUAUUUCCAUAAAGGAUACAAGUUACCAACUAGUUAAAAGUAGAAGCACAAUCAAUUAAUAAUAAUAAAGACAUGAAUAAAUAUAUACAAUUCACUUAGUACUCUUUAGUCAUCAUCAAUAAGUUAUCCCUCUAGUUGUCAUCAUCUAUGUCCUUGAGAGCAAUCAAUUUAGAGUCUUCACACCACUAAACCUGGUUCCAAACUAGAAUUCACUAUCACAACCAAAGCCUAUUGGCUCCCUUAUUAAAUUCAAUAUCCAUCCAAGGAAAUCAGUGUACCAAAUUUAACUGUAUAUUAUUUUAUUUAUGUUUUAGACCCUUUAAUAAUUUAUUAAAUUUAAUAUAUAUUUUUUAUUUCAAUUUAUUUUAUAAAUAUGUAAAAUUAUUAUAAUUUAAUUACUUCAUUUGUUAUUUAAAUUAUUUAUUUUACUUAGACUUUUAUUAUAGUUAAUUACGUUAUUUUAUUUACUUAGAUUUUUAAUUCUAUUCUUUUUUAUUACUUUAAAUAUUUUUUUAACUUAAUUUAAAUUUUAAUUAAGUUUUAUUUUUAUUUUAAUACCACCAUCACAAUUACCUUACCCAAUUUCCAUCUCAUAUUACACUUAACCAUUUUCCAAUUUAACUUUUACAAAUUUCCAUUUUUCUCCAUUUUUAUUAAUUUUUCUUUCUUGGUUCUUCCCAAAGACACCAACCUUUCCAACUCUCUCGCCUAUGGGAAAGUCCCAUUGCUGGGUUCGUCACCCAGUGGGAUUCUGUGAAGGCGCCUCGGCAUGUUUUCAUGAAUAUCGGGCCAGCACGACCCGCUGGUCUGUUGCACAAGCAACUGGCCCAAAGGAAACAAACUUUGUGCAGUUGCACAGUACCAGCUUUCCAUCUUUGGCAUUCACAAAUGCACGGAUCAUAUCUGCAUGCUCCGGCUUUGCAUAUGCAUUUCUACACCAUGUCAGAGACGUCUCAAACCAUUAUAGGUGCCCAGAAAAAAGUCUCUUCCGCUAACCAAUAUUGUAGAGUAAUGUUGCAUAAUCUUAAGGAACUUUGGUCCUCGAUUUUCUGAACAAAAAUAGAUGAGCUUAUGUUUUUCGUCCCUUUCUUCCUAGUUUUGCUAAUAAUUAUUCAUCAUUUAAUUGCUACUAAAUCAAUAUAAUAAUUAAAUGUUAAAAUUCAUAAAUUAAUAAAUAAAAAUUACCACAAAAAUGCAAAUGACACUCAUUCACUCUAUCCAUUUAAAAUGUCACUUAAUUUUAAUUUUUGAAAGAGUUUACCAUAUGUAAAUUAAUUCAUGAAGGCCAUUUUUUUGUAUAACUGGAAAUAUCACCCAUAUUAUCUGAUAAAUGCAGGAGAUAAAAGCUAAAUUGCAUGAAAGAAUUGUUGAAAUCUCGAGUGUUCUUCUCUGCAACUAAGUGUGACCGUGGUUGAUUGAUGUUUUCAGGUUAUAUUCGGGUUUAUCAUUUGUUUUAUUGUUUAAAAUAAAUUCUAAUAUUCAUAAUAUGUUGUAUGAAUUUGUAAAAAACAAAGAAACAUAAAAAAAAUUGGAAUAGAAAACAGAUGUUUAUCUAAACAAAGGUGUCUUUCAAUGAACUAACUAUUAUUUUUCGUUCUGAGAUUUGCAGCAAUAAUUUAAAAAUUAAUCUUUUAAAUAAAAAUAGUCUUAGGGCACUAAAAAACGACUCACUUCAUCAAGAGAAAGCGAUUUCUACUCUAAUACACACACAAAACAUGCCCUCUCACUCACUUGUUUAACUGGAAUUUUGGGUUUGAAGAAGAUGAAGACGAUCUUGUGAGGAGAAGGAAGCGUUUAUCUAAAUUUACCCAACAUCUCAACCGUCUAAACACAUGCACGGCGUCCUAGCCAUUGAUAUGUUGGAUGGCCGACCACAACUGGCAAAGGUGGCAAGUUUUCUUGACACCUAGCUGGUCAUCAUAGGAGCUCACCAUAUGGCUCGGUCCUGGUCAUAGCUUUAAACGGUGAAUGGUGUCAAAUCAGGGGCAACCAAUCUGCCCCUGAGUGCUAAUCAUUUGCAGCGGGAAGCUACCAAAUUAAUUUCUUUUAUUUGUAUUUUAUUUCUUGAAGUUUAUUUUAUUUACGCACACAUAUAUAAUAUACUUACAUAUAUAUAUAUAUAUGCAUACAAUAGUUGAAUAUAAAUUUAUGUAUAUAUAUUUUAUCCAGGC